AAUCCAUCCAAAAUUAAAUAUAAGCAAAGAGGAAUAAACAAAUAUGAAAGUACAAUGUAUUUGGUUCAAAUAUUGUAUCAAAUACAUUUGACAAGCAUAUGAGUAUAUAUCAAAUUUCUCGUAAUCUCCGCCUCAACUUCGAUUAAAGAAGGUCGGAUGCAAAUUUCUCGCAAUCUCCGCCUCUCUUCUCCGGACACUAUUAAACUGUCUUGUUCUCUUAUUUUUCAUGAGACAUAUUUUCGAUGGCCGAUUCACAAGUUCAGCAUGGCGUGUGGAGACGUAUCGAAAAUAAAGAGCAAAGAGUGAAUCCCCAUUAUUAUAAUUUUUUCAUUCCUUUUAAUAAAUUCAAAAUCAAACAACUAUAUCAAUGUACUCUAAAAGAUGCAACAACAAAACUCAAGUUCCUAUGUAUGCUACAAAGCUGCAUAUGAUGUUGUCGAGCUUUUCAUGUUAUCUAGGGGAAGAAAUAUCUAUCUCCAAUUUCGUCACAUCAAGAACUAACAACAAUGGAUCAAAUCGAAGCAGCAGAAGAUGUGGAAAAAAUUUAAAAGUCGUAACCCGAUUCGAACUAGGGUUAAUGCCAAUAUUCUCAACCCGGCUUGAGGAGGAUUUGUGAGCCAACGCAUGUAUAAUUUCAUUUUUCAUGCCAUCACUUACUGGCUUAAGUGGAUCUAACGCCAAAGAGAGAAACUCGAAGCCACUGGGUUCAUUCUUCUUAACUUGGUUCAAUCUUUGGAAGUGGUGUUAACAGUUCAUCACAGAGAAACUUUUCUGUUAUGCUAAAACCACAUCAUCAUGAUCAUGGAGGUGCUUUUGUUGGAAGUGGUGGAGAACAGAACCAAGCUCAACCAAAUUUCGAUUUUGUUGAUCGGUGUCUGGUGAACGAUCUUGUUGAAAGUGGCGGUAAUAAAAGAAAGGCUGGAGAACUUGUUGAAAGCUCUACUACUACUACUACUACUAAUCAAGGAAGUGGUGUUAACAGUUCAUCACAGAGAAACUUUUCGAGGUGGUUCAUGAACCAAACGAGGUGGUUCAUGAACCAAACGAGUCGAACUAUACAUAGCUCAAGUUUUACUCAUUUAUUUAACGAAUUAAUUUUUAACUUAAGUUCGACUCAUUUGAUUCAUGAGCCAAGUUUAACGAAUUAUUUACCGAACUAUUUUUGAGUUAGUUCGGUUCAUUGUUAACGCUACCAAAGCCAAUAAACCACUACCUAGACUAGAGCCAAUAAACCAGAAGAGAUGGUAAGUAUAUCAACAAAAACUUACACAUCCCUAUAUCACCUAUCUAUCUAUCUAAGCAAGCAAUCUAAGGGGAAUCUAUUCCAUUCAUAUAAAUGACACAUUUACGCACACACAUCAGGAAACCUUCUAGCAGUGAACCACUACAGAGAAGUGCAUUUAAUUGGCUCCACAAUUUCGUGCACGGUUGAAACCAGCAAAAGUUAUCAUGCAUAAGUGUUUUUCUUAUGCAUGGUGCAUAAGGCAGGGGCGCUAAUCCCCUAAGCGUGCGCGCAUCGUUACUUCCACGCGCCACUUCAUUUUAUCCUUUGAUUCUUGAUCAAGUAGCCUUAGUGCUUCCACCCUCCUAAUCAAGCAUGAUUCGUCUGAUUAAUCAAACAGCCCAGAUCAUCCCCCUGUUUUUUUUGUUUGUUGCUGUGGUAGGCCUUCUUGUGGGUUGGACCUGUAUUAUUUCAUACUACAUGCACCUCUCCUGCUUGCUUUAUGCACUCUUGUGAUGUUAUUUGUUUAUUUAUUUAUUAUCUUAUUUGUUUAA